GACGAACGCUGGCGGCGUGCCUAAUACAUGCAAGUUGAGCGCUGAAGGUUGGUACUUGUACCAACUGGAUGAGCAGCGAACGGGUGAGUAACGCGUGGGGAAUCUGCCUUUGAGCGGGGGACAACAUUUGGAAACGAAUGCUAAUACCGCAUAAAAACUUUAAACACAAGUUUUAAGUUUGAAAGAUGCAAUUGCAUCACUCAAAGAUGAUCCCGCGUUGUAUUAGCUAGUUGGUGAGGUAAAGGCUCACCAAGGCGAUGAUACAUAGCCGACCUGAGAGGGUGAUCGGCCACAAUGGGACUGAGACACGGCCCAAACUCCUACGGGAGGCAGCAGUAGGGAAUCUUCGGCAAUGGACGAAAGUCUGACCGAGCAACGCCGCGUGAGGGAAGAAGGUUUUCGGAUCGUAAAACUCUGUUGGUAGAGAAGAACGUUGGCGAGAGUGGAAAGCUCAUCAAGUGACGGUAACUACCCAGAAAGGGACGGCUAACUACGUG
rnacentral:rRNA from 1 species